rnacentral:rRNA from 1 species
AGACCUGACGCUUCAAGAUGAGCCCGCGGCCUAUCAGCUAGUUGGUGGGGUAAAAGCCCACCAAGGCUAAGACGGGUAGCUGGUCUGAGAGGACGACCAGCCACACUGGAACUGAGACACGGUCCAGACACCUACGGGUGGCAGCAGUCGAGAAUUUUUCUCAAUGGGCGAAAGCCUGAAGGAGCGACGCCGCGUGGGGGAUGAAUGGCUUCGGCCCGUAAACCCCUGUCAUUUGUGAACAAGUUGACUCGGUUAACAACCGAAUCAUUGAUAGUAGCAGAAGAGGAAGGGACGGCUAACUCUGUGCCAGCAGCCGCGGUAAUACAGAGGUCCCAAGCGUUGUUCGGAUUCACUGGGCGUAAAGGGUGCGUAGGCGGUUGGGUAAGUCUGACGUGAAAUCUCCAAGCUUAACUUGGAAACUGCGUUGGAUACUAUCCGGCUUGAGGAAUGGAGGGGAGACUGGAAUGCUUGGUGUAGCAGUGAAAUGCGUAGAUAUCAAGCGGAACACCAGUGGCGAAGGCGAGUCUCUGGACAUUUCCUGACGCUGAGGCACGAAAGCCAGGGGAGCAAACGGGAUUAGAUACCCCGGUAGUCCUGGCCCUAAACGGUGCACGUUUGCUGUAAGUGGAAUCGACCCCACUUGUGGCGUAGUUAACACGAUAAACGUGCCGCC